rnacentral:misc_RNA from 1 species
ACACGCCGAAGGGCUCACAGCUCUCUCUCGUAGAAGGCAGUGUAGCAGCGCAGCACCAAUGAGCAUCGCGAGCACCACGCCUUUGAGGCCGAGCACCUCCGCAUCGAAUGCGAACGCCGAGCUCAGCAAGGACCAGCUGGAGGAAAUCCGCGAGGCGUUCGACUUGUUCGACACGGAUGGCAGCGGCACGAUCGACGUGCGGGAGCUGCGCAUUGCCAUGCGUGCGCUCGGCUUCGAGCCCCGUAAGGAGGAGCUUCAGCAGCUUAUCAACAGCGUCACCGGUGGCAGCGGCUGCGAAGGAACCCCUGCGCGGCUGUCGGGCGCCGGCAAUGUGAACGCGUCCAGCGACGUGAUCACCUUCUCGCAGUUUGUGCAGAUUAUGAAGCACAAGGUGUCACAACGGGACUCGCGGGAGGAGAUGCUGAAGGCGUUUGUGCUCUUCGACACAGAGGGCACUGGCAAGAUCUCGUUCCAAAACUUGAAGCGAGUGGCGGUGGAACUUGGCGAGAACAUGACGGACGCCGAGCUGCAGGAGAUGAUCGACGAGGCGGACCGUGACGGGGACGGCGAGGUGAGCGAAGAGGAGUUUCUUCGCUUAAUGAAGAAGACGUCGCUGUACUAAGGGUUCCAGCGCAGCGGAGGAGGCGGCGCGGGAAGAUGUGCGCACGACAGCGAACUGCGGAGCGAUGAGGGGGUCAACUCGUGUGACGAAGCGGCUGACACUCAAUUGCAUGUAUGCGUAUGUGUAUGUGUGUGUAGCCGAACCUCCCCCUUCCCCUCCCUUUCUCCCCAUACCGCACGGCGCACUGCUUCUCCGUCCUGCUGCUCGGCUCUUGUUUCGUUGGAGGUGGUGCGGGGGUGAGCUUUUCUGUUGACGUCAAGCAGCACCAGCAGCGAAACGGCGUGCGGCGGACAGGCGAGCGAACGCCGACGAUCCUCCCUCCCCCCUCUGCCCUCCCGCGCGCGCACGCACACGCACACACACACACACAGAACAGAACAGAGGCGAAUGACGAAGAAACUCUCGAUGUAAACUAUCACACGUGUGUGCGCGUGCAUUCGACCUUGACAGCAACACGCCAUCUCUUUCCUUCCUCUGCGCGUCUCAUCAACUCCCUUCCUUUUCUUUUUUGUUGUCGCUCGUGCGGGCUGUGCCACAUACUUUGUGCGGUGCGCGAGAGGGCGGCUGGAGAACGGCCGCGGGUGUUUGCGGUCUGUGAAGGUGCGUCUGCCUCUUUCAGCUCGCUUGCCGAACCCCCUCCACCUCCUGCACGGUUCCUCUCCGUACUUCGUGCUCCCUCCCUCUCCCUUUCGCUG